UACGUAGGGAGCAAGCGUUGUCCGGAAUCAUUGGGCGUAAAGCGCGCGUAGGUGGCUUCAUAAGUCCGUUGUGAAAGUCAAAGGCUCAACCUUUGAAAGCCGAUGGAUACUGUGAAGCUAGAGUACGGAAGAGGCGAGUGGAAUUCCUGGUGUAGCGGUGGAAUGCGCAGAUAUCAGGAGGAACACCAAUAGCGAAGGCAGCUCGCUGGGACGUUACUGACACUAAGGCGCGAAAGCGUGGGGAUCAAACAGG
rnacentral:rRNA from 1 species